CUUCCUUCCACCCCCCGCAUCCGGCUUCCCACCACCCUCCGCAUCCGGCACCCCACCACCACCGCCACCGCUCGACAAAAAGGUCACUUUUGAAGCUCCUCCGUCGGCUGCGGGCCGUACGUCGGUCGACGGCAGCCACUCCGGCCUCCCCUCCCCAUCUACACAAGGUGGAGUGGAGGAGAAGCAGUUGGCAUGUGUUAGCGUUCCAGGCCCAGCUCCCAACCUCUGGCAUAUGUUCGAACAUUUUCGGUGCGCAUCGGACACACCACUAUAAGCAAAGAGUCCACCACAUCCCAAAAGACUAGCCUGAAGGGAGUGUGGCACUCCUCCUUAUAAGGUGGUCCUAGCCCCCUCCCAUAUUCGAGGUGGGACUAAAGUCACUGGCAACGCCCAAUGGCCAGCGUCUCUGACACCCCAUCCCCCUAAAACAGGGCAGACUGGGGCCCAGCUAUGAUACCAAUUGUUAGCGUCCCAGGCCCCCAGCUCCCAACCUUCGGCAUAUGUUCGGACGUUUCCGGUGUGCAUCAGACACAUCACUAUAAGCAAAGAGUCCACCACAUCGCAAAAGACUAGCCUGAAGGGAGUGUGGCACUCCUCCUUAUAAGGUGGUUCUAGCCCCUCCCAUAUCCGAGGUGAGACUAAAGUCACUGACAACGCCCAAUGGCCAGCGUCUCUGACAGCAUGGACACUCAGUUUCUCUCUGAUGUCUGAGAAGAAAGUCCGUCUUGGGUGCAGCGAUGUCCAAGUUAGUUACAUCAUCCAAUCAUCUGUCUAAUCUUAGUGUUUGUUCUAUUUUGUACUGUCAUAUUUCAUAUGUGCGUCAGAGGAAAUUCGCUUUCUAGAGGUAUCUUGCAGCUGGCCGAGUCCCAGAUCUCAUUUCAAUGGCCAUAGGCAGUGAUCAAUAAAAGGGCACUGGAAUAUAUCCAAAGCAUGA